GUGGCUGGCACUUCGCGCGUCUGGAAGUACGACUCUUACUUUCCACCUGGCAGCAAGUUGACAGCUUUUGAAAAUGCAGUCGGAAUCGGGGAUCGUGGCCGACUUUGAAGUCGGAGAGGAAUUUCACGAGGAGCCUAAAACAUAUUACGAGCUGAAGAGCCAGCCGCUGGAAAGCAGUAAUUCAUCUGAGCA